UACAGAGGGGGCAAGCGUUGUUCGGAAUUACUGGGCGUAAAGGGCGCGUAGGCGGCCUUCUAAGUCGAACGUGAAAUCCCCGAGCUCAACUCGGGAACUGCGUCCGAUACUGACAGGCUUGAAUCCGGGAGAGGGAUGCGGAAUUCCAGGUGUAGCGGUGAAAUGCGUAGAUAUCUGGAGGAACACCGGUGGCGAAGGCGGCAUCCUGGACCGGCAUUGACGCUGAGGCGCGAAAGCUAGGGGAGCAAACGGG
rnacentral:rRNA from 1 species